CAGUCAUGAUAUAACAAGAAUGUUACAAGGUUGACGACACAAGGUUGUAACAAUAUUGUUAUAUCGUGACUGUAUCGGACUUGUUGGAACAACCUUGUAACAAGUCUGAUAAUAUCAACAAGGUUGAACGCAAAAAUCUCACAUCUUAAUUGUAACAAGUCUGCCAACAAGCCGUCAACAAGUUGUCUUCGCACUGCUUAUCACAAGUUGUCAACAAGUUUGGAACAAGCUGUUAACAACUUGUAACAACCUUGUUGAUAAUAUCAGACUUGUUGCAAGGUUGUACCAACAAGUCCGAUGCAGUCAUGAUAUAACAAU